rnacentral:rRNA from 1 species
AGAACGAACGCUGGCGGCAUGCCUAACACAUGCAAGUCGAACGAGACCUUCGGGUUUAGUGGCGCACGGGUGCGUAACGCGUGGGAAUCUGCCCUUGGGUUCGGAAUAACAGUUGGAAACGACUGCUAAUACCGGAUGAUGACGUAAGUCCAAAGAUUUAUCGCCCAGGGAUGAGCCCGCGUAGGAUUAGCUAGUUGGUGAGGUAAAGGCUCACCAAGGCGACGAUCCUUAGCUGGUCUGAGAGGAUGAUCAGCCACACUGGGACUGAGACACGGCCCAGACUCCUACGGGAGGCAGCAGUGGGGAAUAUUGGACAAGUCGGGACGAACGACCGUAG